rnacentral:rRNA from 1 species
GUGGGGAAUAUUGGACAAUGGGCGAAAGCCUGAUCCAGCCAUGCCGCGUGUGUGAAGAAGGUCUUCGGAUUGUAAAGCACUUUAAGUUGGGAGGAAGGGCAGUAAGUUAAUACCUUGCUGUUUUGACGUUACCGACAGAAUAAGCACCGGCUAACUUCGUGCCAGCAGCCGCGGUAAUACGAAGGGUGCAAGCGUUAAUCGGAAUUACUGGGCGUAAAGCGCGCGUAGGUGGUUUUGUAAGUUGGAGGUGAGAUCCCCGGGCUCAACCAGGGAACUGCCUCCAAAACUGCAUGACUAGAGUACGGUAGAGGGUAGUGGAAUUUCCUGUGUAGCGGUGAAAUGCGUAGAUAUAGGAAGGAACACCAGUGGCGAAGGCGACUACCUGGACUGAUACUGACACUGAGGUGCGAAAGCGUGGGGAGCAAACAGGAUUAGAUACCCGUGUAGUCC